rnacentral:rRNA from 1 species
AUUGAACGCUGGCGGCAGGCCUAACACAUGCAAGUAGAACGAGUGGCGGACGGGUGAGUAAUGUCUGGGAAACUGCCUGAUGGAGGGGGAUAACUACUGGAAACGGUAGCUAAUACAGCAUACCAUCGGAUGUGCCCAGAUGGGAUUAGCUAGUAGGUGGGGUAACGGCGUACCUAGGCGACGAUCCCUAGAUGGUCUGAGAGGAUGAACAGCCACACUGUAACGGAUACACGGUCCAGAUUCCUACGGGAGGCAGCAGUGGGGAAUAUUGCACAAUGGGCGCAAGCCUGAUGCAGCCAUGCCGCGUGUAUGAAGAAGGCCUUCGGGUUGUAAAGUACUUUCAGCGGGGAGGCGUUACCCGCAGAAGAAGCACCGGCUAACUCCGUGCCAGCAGCCGCGGUAAUAC